rnacentral:rRNA from 1 species
AUCUGGCGCCUUCGGCGUCCGCAUUGUAAUUUCAAGAAGUGUUUUCUCUUCGGAACAUGCCUAAGUCCCUUGGAAAGGGAAUCCUAGAGGGGUGUAAUCCCCGUCAGGGGACGGAAAGGUGCUCUCUUUGUGAUACCUUUUCUAAGAGUCGUUGUGUGGGAAUGUGCAUCUCAAUGGGAGGGGUAAAUGCUCUCUAAGGCUUAUUAUUGGGGAGAGACCGAUAGCACAACAAGUACAGAGAUGGAAUGAUGAAAACUUUUUAAAGAGAGUUUUAAGCACGUGAAAUUGUGCCAGGGGGGGAUUGCAACCGUCCUUGAUGCGUCGUGUUCCGCAGGUCUGCUUUUGCUUCUACUUUUUCCUGUGUUGGACGCCAUCGUCUGUUGCCGCUACUGAAGACUUGUAGAAUGUACGUCCCUCCUCAGUGUUAUGUGUUCUUCCUCCUACUGGAUACACCGGCCAAGUCCGCGCUUCGCAUAGUACUCUGGCGUAAUGGUCUUAAUCCACCUUUCU